UAUUAUCUUUCAAAUGGUCUUCAUCCGUUCGGUUCUCGUAAUAAAAUUCACUCUAACAUACUUAAAAACAAACUAAUUAAUCUGGAUAAAUGUCAACUGUGUGCGUAUGACAUAAUCAAGAGAAUGUUAGAAGGAAAGCCGGAAGAUCGAAUCAAUUCGUCAGAUGUCGCUGAACUACUUUACGAAAAGCUUGUGACACAAAAACAAUUUAUGGACUUAUGUUCGAGUGAUACUUAUCCUAGUUUAAAGGAUAUCAAAUACUUUCUGGAAAAACGGGUGGAUGUCAACUUUGUCUAUCCUGAAGGAUGGACUCCCCUUUUAUAUCUGGCAAA